rfam:Selaginella moellendorffii unplaced genomic scaffold SELMOscaffold_206, whole genome shotgun sequence.
GGGUCUUGGGAUAUUUGGGGUUAAGCAUUCUUGGGUUUGAAUAGUACUGGGCUGGGUGACCUCCCGGGAAGUCCAAAUUCAGGAGCUU